rnacentral:pre_miRNA from 1 species
GGUGGUCGCGGCGGAAGAGGUGGUUGCGGUGGUUGCGGCGGUUGUCACGGUCGAGGCGGUCGUGGUGGAGGAAAAGGUAAACCAUUUAACAACGGCUCGACAAGCGGUAUGACCGACCGCUACUACUCUUUCGAAGAGUAU